rnacentral:rRNA from 1 species
AUUGAACGCUAGCGGGAUGCCUUACACAUGCAAGUCGAACGGAGUGGCGAACGGGUGAGUAAUGUAUGGGAACGUGCCCAGUAGCGGGGGCUAACUACGCGAAAGCGUAGCUAAUACCGCAUACUAUUGGAGCGGCCGAUGUCGGAUGAGCUAGUUGGUGGGGUAACGGCGCACCAAGGCGACGAUCCGUAGCUGGUGUGAGAGGACGACCAGCCACACGGGGACUGAGACACGGACCAGACUCCUCCGGUGGGCAGCAGUGGGGAAUUUUGGACAAUGGGGGAAACCCUGAUCCAGCCAUCCCGCGGGUGCGAUGAAGGCCUUCGGGUUGUAAAGCACUUUUGGCAGGAACGCGGUACCUGCAGAAUAAGCACCGGCUAACUACGUGCCAGCAGCCGCGGUAAUUC